rnacentral:misc_RNA from 1 species
GAUGGCCCCUUGCUUAUAAUUGUAGUAAAGAGAAAAAGGUAUAUAAUUUUUUUUUCUGUAUAUUUCAUCCAAUUCGAGCGUUUAAAGCCGUGCUGCUCGCAACACCCAAAAGAAUAUGCCUUAGCAAGUAGCUACAACUCCUAGGUUAAAAGUUGCCCGUAAGACAAAUUCAAACAUUGUGCCAGAAAUUGAAUUUAGCUAAC